rnacentral:rRNA from 1 species
GAUGAACGCUAGCGGCAGGCUUAACACAUGCAAGUCGAGGGGUAGAAGGAGCUUGCUCCUUUGAGACCGGCGCACGGGUGCGUAACGCGUAUGCAACCUACCUUUUACAGAGGGAUAGCCCAGAGAAAUUUGGAUUAAUACCUCAUAGUAUAUAGUCUUCGCAUGUUGACUAUAUUAAAGUUCCAACGGUAAAAGAUGGGUAUGCGUCCUAUUAGCUAGAUGGUAAGGUAACGGCUUACCAUGGCAACGAUAGGUAGGGGUCCUGAGAGGGAGAUCCCCCACACUGGUACUGAGACACGGACCAGACUCCUACGGGAGGCAGCAGUGAGGAAUAUUGGACAAUGGGCGCAAGCCUGAUCCAGCCAUGCCGCGUGCAGGAAGAAGCAUCUAUGGUGUGUAAACUGCUUUUGUACGGGAAGAAACACUCCCUCGUGAGGGAGCUUGACGGUACCGUAAGAAUAAGGAUCGGCUAACUCCGUGCCAGCCGCCGCAGUAAAAC